rnacentral:rRNA from 1 species
UGCGUAGGGGCCUAGCGUUGUCCGGAUUUAUUGGGCGUAAAGAGCGUGUAGGCGGCCAGGUAGGUCUGCUGUGAAAACUCGAGGCUCAACCUCGAGACGUCGGCGGAAACCAUCUGGCUAGAGUCCGGAAGAGGAGAGUGGAAUUCCUGGUGUAGCGGUGAAAUGCGCAGAUAUCAGGAAGAACACCCGUGGCGAAGGCGGCUCUCUGGGACGGUACUGACGCUGAGACGCGAAAAGCGUGGGGAGCGAACAGG